rnacentral:rRNA from 1 species
UAGUCCACGCCGUAAACGAUGGUCACUAGUUGUUGGGAUUUAUCUCAGUGACUAAGCGAAAGUGAUAAGUGACCCACCUGGGGAGUACGUUCGCAAGAAUGAAACUCAAAGGAAUUGACGGGGGCCCGCACAAGCGGUGGAGCAUGUGGUUUAAUUCGAUGAUACGCGAGGAACCUUACCAGGGCUUAAAUGUAAGUUGCAUUAGUUAGAGAUAGCUAUUUCUUCGGACUACUUACAAGGUGCUGCAUGGUUGUCGUCAGCUCGUGCCGUGAGGUGUCAGGUUAAGUCCUAUAACGAGCGCAACCCCUAUCGUUAGUUGCUAACAGGUUAAGCUGAGGACUCUAGCGAGACUGCCGGUGCAAACCGAGAGGAAGGUGGGGAUGACGUCAAAUCAUCACGGCCCUUACGUCCUGGGCUACACACGUGCUACAAUGGUCGGUACAGCGAGCAGCGAAGUCGCGAGGCGGAGCUAAUCUCUAAAAACCGGUCUCAGUUCGGAUUGGAGU